UUAGUCUGCCGUAACAAAAUACCACCGACUGAGCGGCUUCAACAGCAAAGAUUCAUUUUCUCACAGUUCUUGAGGCUGGAAGCCCUAGAUCAGUGCUAAAGAAAGCUUCCAGAGUGGUUGGUUUGGUGCUGACUCUUUCCUGGCCUGUGGAUGGUUACUUUCUUUUCCCUCCUUGCCGGGUGAGGACACAGGGAAAAGGCAGCCUCGACAAGCUGGGGAGAAAGCCAUCACAAGAAAGCAGUCAUGCGGCCACCUGAUCUCAGAUGUCCAACCUCCUGAACUGUGAGAAGAUAAACUGCUUUUUAAGUCCCUGGGGAUCUUCCCAACCCAGGAAUCAAACUCAGGUCUCCUGCAUUGCAAAUGGACUCUUCACUGACUGGGCUACGAGAGAAGUCUGGAUAUGGCAUACAACUUGUUAUUUCAUUGUUGUCUUUUCCAUGGAAUGUAAACUCCAUGAGAAUCUCUGGACAAGCUGAUAAGCAAGCCUAAGUACUCCCUCUUUUGGUCCUGUUGAUUCAAACCAUGGAAACUCCUGCCUAUGCAUAGGAACCUUCUCUUAGCCCUACCCGCUAACUGCAUUAAAAACCCCAGUCCUCUUCCUUUCCUUGAUGUCUGAAGCCAAUUGAAGCCAUUUUCAGACUUUCUUGGGAGGCCUCCCUGCUCUGCUUAGAAAAGCUUCAAUUAUGUAAGUAAUA